GACGAACGCUGGCGGCGUGCUUAACACAUGCAAGUCGAACGAUGAAGCCGGAGCUUGCUCUGGUGAAUUAGUGGCGAACGGGUGAGUAACACGUGAGUAACCUGCCCUUGACUCUGGGAUAACUGCGGGAAACUGUAGCUAAUACCGGAUACGACCCUCGGAGGCAUCUCCUGGGGGUGGAAAGAAUUUAGGUCAAGGAUGGACUCGCGGCCGAUUAGCUGGUUGGUGAGGUAAAGGCUCACCAAGGCGACGACGGGUAGCCGGCCUGAGAGGGGGACCGGCCACACUGGGACUGAGACACGGCCCAGACUCCUACGGGAGGCAGCAGUGGGGAAUAUUGCACAAUGGGCGCAAGCCUGAUGCAGCAACGCCGCGUGAGGGAUGACGGCCUUCGGGUUGUAAACCUCUUUUAGCAGGGAAGAAGCGAAAGUGACGGUACCUGCAGAAAAAGCACCGGCUAACUACGUGCCAGCCGCCGCGGUAA
rnacentral:rRNA from 1 species